CACACCUUUCCAAAUUAAAUAAUGGUGUUUUGUAAUUUCAAAACUGUGACCGUUACUUCAAUGGAGAAAAUUGUAAGUCCCUUUCUAUUUGCUUUUCUUAGGGCUUAUGUUGUGAGUGAGAAACACACCCCCAACCAAUAACAAGGCUGAAUGUUUUUCUUUGACAAAAUUUCUUAGUGCUCUUCAUUUGUACUAAAAAUUAGGAGACCCCAGUGAGAACCCCCGUGACAGUGGAGAGUAAUUGCAGCGAGAACUUAGUCUAAAUUAGCGAAAAGACAUAUUUUGCCAUCUGUCAAAUGACAAGUCAAUUGUUCUUACAUCAACAUCCUUCUUUUAAAGUUCAAGUCUGUCAACCAGAGAAAAGGCAUGAACACCAAACAAAAGGAAAAUAGAUUCCGAUUCCCACCCUCUUCUGCAUGUGAGUUCUGAAGGAAUCCUGCCCUCGCACACAGGCCUCCUGGGCGUCCUCUAGUGACCUUAACUAAGGGGUCUGAAUGCAUCUCUACAGUCAUUCUUGGCAUUGCUCAAAGCAAUCGUGGCUCAGGAGAGAAAAUGAAGAGAAAAAUGAACUGUGCAUUAUCAAGAGAUGUGUGUGUGUGUGUGUGUGUGUGUCUGUGUGAGUGUGUGUCUGUGUGGGUCCCUGUAGCAGCUUCACUACAAAGUAGUUGAAAAAGAGGGGCUGUUUCUUCAUGAACGGACAGCUUUCUGCAGGUAUCUAUGUAAACCGAUGCCAACGACAGAUGUCUGGUUUAUAGAUCCCCAGGGAAGCCAACUGGAAACCCCUCGUUCUCUUUUGGCAAAAGUUUGCAGGCAGCUUCACAAUGUUACAGCAGGUUUCUAACCCUUGGCACUGCUGAGGUCUUGGGUUGAAUCAUUCUGUGUUUCAGGGACCGUCCUGGGCAUUGUAGGAUAUUGAGCGGCAUUCCUGGCCCUACGCACCAGAUUCCAGAAGCACCUUCCCCUGCCCCCAGCUAUGACAACCAGAGAUGUCUUCAGACUUUACCAAAUGUUCCCCAGGGAGCGAAAUCACCCUGAGUGAGACCCACUGGAGCAGAGACCUGUGUGGGGACAGCUGCGGUAUUUGUGGCAGUAGUUGGAGCACUGGACUCAGGGUCAAUGAAGGGCAACGUGGAAACCAAAUGUUAAGAUGUAUAACUCUACAGGUUGACUCAGCUUCCCCUGUUAAUUUCUCAAGGAAAGUGAAGAACUGCACAGCAUGGUGACUGUGCUUGAUGAAAUAAAAUACAGUUUGAGUUUUCUUUAUUAGAAAAAUCUCUUGUUCCCUUAACCUCAGCAUGGAAGCCUCUUGAUGCAAUCGUUAAGACUGUUGUGAUAUAUUCAAGUGGAUCUUUUUGCCCCAGAUGUUAUGUAACAACAGAUGCUGCACAUCCAUGUCACAAAUGUAAUUGUAUCCCAGUUCAUUAAAAUGAGCCGUCAUAAAGUCAGAAUAAAAUGAGAAGAAAUUGAUUGGAAAAGGACGAAUUGUUUUAAAACCAAUCAGAUGAUACUGUUGAGUAGUUUUAAAAGAAAAUCUUGAUUUAAAAAACAAAGAAGUUGGUGAGCUCAGGAGUUCAAACGAGCC
rnacentral:lncRNA from 1 species